CCUCCUGCCGAGCACACUUUCACCACAGAGCUGUUGCAGCACGUCACAGCCCUCCUCUUAGCAUUUUCCACUGCUUCCGGCACACUUUACUUUUUUCCUGUUGACAGACUCUGGAACAAGACAUCCCAUCUGCUGAUACCACAGGCGUCCAGAGGACAAGAACAAGACAGGACUCACACCCUUGACACCACACAGCAGCCCCACCACAGACAUGUCGGACUCUGAGACAGCAGCUGCCCCCGCCGAGGCACCCGUCCCCGCUGCUUGCGCCAGUAUCAAGGCAGACCUGGACAAAUGUGUGGCGGAGAAGGGAGCCGAGGGCUGCAAGGAUCUGUUGGAGGCCUUUGCUGCUUGUGUGAAAAGUGCUGCCGAGGGGACAUCAUGAGGAGUCACCCUCCAGCCUACGAUGUCCACUGCACUGAGUCCUCCAAGUUCCCAGCAUUCCCUUCUGCACAACAGCACUGGACUGAAUGAUGACAACAACCAUGAUGAUGAUGAUGAGGAUGAUGUUUAUAGUGUUGAUCGGUCUGAGUUUGGGAUCUGGUGGCAGUAACCACAGUUUCCUCCCCCUGUCCUCCCCCUCCUGUUUUAGGCUUAACUGGUGUCCCUCAGUCUUACCACCGUCCCCUUCUCCCUGUCCAGCUGAUAUACAGUACGCUGACAUUUCCAGAGAGCUGAUGGGCUGUGAUGUAACCUGUCGACUUGAGAUGAAUACUUAUAAAUGGAAAUAAAGUAUAAAAUAAUUGGUA